UGGUGAAGAUUACAGUUUGUUUUGGAAGUGUUUUCUAAUGUUUUAAAUCGGUUUUUGCUGCAGCUUGAAUGGUUUUGUGUUGGUGUACCUCUGAGAUUGAUGGUCUGAUUGUAGAGAUGUGAGAUUUGAGAUGCAAGUGUUGGUGAAAUGUGAGAUAUGUUCAAUAAGAGGCGUUAAGAGGUGUCCAUUCGGUUUUUGCUGCAGCUUGAACUGUUUCCAUUAACCAAUAAACUGAAACAGGUGAUCGGAGCUGUGGGGUUCAUGAACCAGAGGCUGGAAAUUCUGAAGGACAUUGAUUGCAGUAUGACAAUCAGUAUGACACUUGUUUCUGGAUGUUAGUUACAAGUAGAAAAAGCAUAAGUGAAGCACGAGGUUUUAAAGGUGUGUUGUUUGUGAUUUUCUAAAAAGGGAUCAAUGUUUUUUUUGUCAUGGAAUGUGUUUAAUACUACGACUAUUGUUAUUAUUUCUUAUACAGAUGUCAAAAUACCUUCUUAA